rnacentral:rRNA from 1 species
UACGUAGGGGGCAAGCGUUGUCCGGAAUUAUUGGGCGUAAAGAGCUCGUAGGCGGUCUGUUGCGUCGGCUGUGAAACCCGGGGCUUAACUCCGGGCCUGCAGCCGAUACGGGCAGACUAGAGUUCGGCAGGGGAGACUGGAAUUCCUGGUGUAGCGGUGAAAUGCGCAGAUAAUCAGGAGGAACACCGAUGGCGAAGGCAGGUCUCUGGGGCCACUACUGACGCUGAGAAGCGAAAGCGUGGGGGAGCGAACAGG